rnacentral:rRNA from 1 species
GACGAACGCUGGCGGCGUGCUUAACACAUGCAAGUCGAACGGAAAGGCCCUGCAUUUGUGGGGUGCUCGAGUGGCGAAAGGAUGAGUAACACGUGAGUAACCUGCCCUUGACUUUGGGAUAACUUCAGGAAACUGGGGCUAAUACCGGAUAGGAGCUCCUGCUGCAUGGUGGGGGUUGGAAAGUUUCGGCGGUUGGGGAUGGACUCGCGGCUUAUCAGCUUGUUGGUGGGGUAGUGGCUUACCAAGGCUUUGACGGGUAGCCGGCCUGGGAGGGUGACCGGCCACAUUGGGACUGAGAUAAGGCACAGACUCCUACGGGAGGCAGCAGUGGGGAAGAGUGCACAAUGGGCGGAAGCCUGAUGCAGCCACGCCGCGUGCGGGAUGACGGCCUUCGGGUUGUAAACCGCUUUCGCCUGUGACGAAGCGUGAGUGACGGUAAUGGGUAAAGAAGCACCGGCUAACUACGUG